CUCAAGGAGCACUGCAGCUCCCCUACGACCCAGAGAUGGAAGAAGACUCCUAUGACAGUUUUGGGGAGCCCUCAUACCCGGAAGCCUUCGAGGCCCCCCUGCCUGGCUACCCAGGGGAAGAGCUGGAGGAGGAGGAGGAGGAAAGGGGUGUGAAGCUCGGCCUGGGAGACUUCAUCUUCUACAGUGUCCUGGUGGGCAAGGCUGCAGCCACCGGCAACGGGGACUGGAACACUACGCUGGCCUGCUUUAUCGCCAUCCUCAUUGGCUUGUGUCUCACCCUCCUGCUGCUUGCCGUGUUCAAGAAGGCCCUGCCCGCCCUCCCCAUCUCCAUCACCUUUGGACUCAUCUUCUACUUCUCCACAGACAACCUGGUGCGCCCUUUCAUGGACACUCUGGCCUCCCACCAGCUCUACAUCUGACAGGAGGCAGGCGGAGGCUCCNGGAGCUGUGGGGGGCGUCACUGGAUGCAGGUGUAUAGUUUUACACUCUAGUGCCAUAUAUUUUUUAAAGAACUUUUCUUUCCUUACAAAAGAAAAAAAAAAAACA